rnacentral:rRNA from 1 species
AUUGAACGCUGGCGGCAGGCCUAACACAUGCAAGUCGAACGAGUGGCGGACGUGUGGGUAAUGGCUUGGAAACCGCCUGAUUGAGGGGGAUAAAUACUGGAAACGGUAGCUGAUACCGGAUAACAUCGGAUGUGCCCCGAUGGGAUGAGCGAGUAGGUGGGGUAAAGGCUCACCGAGGCGACGAUGCCUAGCUGGUCUGAGAGGAUGACCGGCCACACUGGAACUGAGACACGGUCCAGACUCCUACGGGAGGCAGCAGUGGGGAAUAUUGCACAAUGGGCGAAAGUCUGAUGCAGCCAUGCCGCGUGAAUGAAGAAGGCCGUCGGGUUGUAAAGUACUGUCAGCGGGGAGGCGUUACCCGAAGAAGAAGCAACGGCUAACUCCGUGCCAGCAGCCGCGGUAAUAC